rnacentral:rRNA from 1 species
ACCCGCUGAACUUAAGCAUAUCAAUAAGCGGAGGAAAAGAAACUAACAAGGAUUCCCCUAGUAACGGCGAGUGAAGCGGGAACAGCUCAAAUUUGAAACCUGGCGUCCUUCGGGCGUCCGGAUUGUAUUCUAGAGAAGCGUCUUCCACGCUGGUCCAUGUAUAAGUGCCCUGGAACGGGCUGUCAUAGAGGGUGAGAAUCCCGUCCUUGACAUGGGCUACCAGUGUUUUUGUGAUGCGCUUUCUAAGAGUCGAGUUGUUUGGGAAUGCAGCUCAAAGUGGGUGGUAAAUUCCAUCUAAAGCUAAAUAUUGGCCUGAGACCGAUAGCGAACAAGUACCGUGAGGGAAAGAUGAAAAGCACUUUGAAAAGAGAGUCAAACAGUACGUGAAAUUGCUGAAAGGGAAACGCUUGAAGUCAGUCGCGCCCCCUGGAAUUCAGCCCUGCUUUUGUAGGGUGUACUUUCCAGGGGGCGGGCCAACAUCAGUUUUGACCGGCAGAUAAAGGCCGGGGGAAUGUGGCUCCUUUCGGAGUGUUAUAGCCCCCAGUCACAUAUGCCGGUUGGGACUGAGGAUCGUAGCGCGCCCUUGUGGCAGGCCUUCGGGCACUUUCGCGCUUAGGAUGUUGGCAUAAUGGCUUUAAGCGACCCGUCUUGAAACACGG